CAAUAGCGUAUAUUAAAGUUGUUGCAGUUAAAAAGCUCGUAGUUGGAUUUCUGGUUGAAGCGACCGGUCGGGCGUUGAUUCGUCUGCACUGGAGUCGGUUUUGGCCAUCCUCUAGGAAAGUGCGUCUGGUAUUAAGUUAUCGGGCGUAUGAUCCUGGUCUUUUACCGUGAAAAAAUUAGAGUGUUUAAAGCAGGCCUUCGCCUUGAAUACAUUAGCAUGGAAUAAUAAGAUAGGACUUUGGUCUAUUUUGUUGGUUUGCAGACCGAAGUAAUGAUUAAUAGGGAUAGUUGGGGGUAUUUAUAUUCCGAUGUCAGAGGUGAAAUUCUUAGAUUUUCGGAAGAUAAACUUAUGCGAAAGCAUUUACCAAGGAUGUUUNCAUUAA
rnacentral:rRNA from 1 species